rnacentral:rRNA from 1 species
ACCCGCUGAACUUAAGCAUAUCAAUAAGCGGAGGAAAAGAAACCAACAGGGAUUGCCUUAGUAACGGCGAGUGAAGCGGCAAAAGCUCAAAUUUGAAAUCUGGCACCUUCGGUGUCCGAGUUGUAAUUUGAAGAAGGUAACUUUGGAGUUGGCUCUUGUCUAUGUUCCUUGGAACAGGACGUCACAGAGGGUGACAGCCCCGUAAAAUCUAUUCUCAUUGUAAGAUACUUUCGAAGAGUCGAGUUGUUUGGGAAUGCAGCUCUAAGUGGGAGGUAAAUUCCUUCUAAAGCUAAAUAUUGACGAGAGACCGAUAGCGAACAAGUACUGUGAAGGAAAGAUGAAAAGCACUUUGAAAAGAGAGUGAAAAAGUACGUGAAAUUGUUAAAAGGGAAGGGUAUUGAAUCAGACUUGGUGCUGUUGUUCAACUGUGUUUUGGCACAGUGUACUCAGCAGUACUAGGCCAAGGUGGGGUGUUUGGGAGUGAAAAAGAAGUUGGAACGUAACUCUUCGGAGUGUUAUAGCCUACUUUCAUAGCUCCUCAGGCGCCUCAGGACUGCGCUUCGGCAAGGACCUUGGCAUAAUGAUUCUAUACCGCCCGUCUUGAAACACGGACCAAGGAG